CCUACGGGGGACAGCAGUAGGGAAUAUUGCUCAAUGGGGGAAACCCUGAAGCAGCAACGCCGCGUGGAGGAUGAAGGUUUUCGGAUUGUAAACUCCUUUUGUUAGAGAAGAUAAUGACGGUAUCUAACGAAUAAGCACCGGCUAACUCCGUGCCAGCAGCCGCGGGAAUACGGAGGGGGCAAGCGUUACUCGGAAUCACUGGGCGUAAAGAGCGCGUAGGCGGGAUAGCAAGUCAGAUGUGAAAUCCUAUGGCUUAACCAUAGAACUGCAUUUGAAACUGUUAUUCUAGAGUAUGGGAGAGGUAGGUGGAAUUCUUGGUGUAGGGGUAAAAUCCGUAGAGAUCAAGAGGAAUACUCAUUGCGAAGGCGACCUGCUAGAACAUAACUGACGCUGAUGCGCGAAAGCGUGGGGAGCAAACAGGAUUAGAUACCCCUGUAGUC
rnacentral:rRNA from 1 species